GCCGGGGUGGCGGAAUGGUAGACGCGGCGGUCUCAAAAACCGUUGAGGGAGACCUCGUGCGGGUUCGAGUCCCGCUCCCGGCA
rnacentral:tRNA from 1 species